rnacentral:rRNA from 1 species
CCAAUAGCGUAUAUUAAAGUUGUUGCAGUUAAAAAGCUCGUAGUUGAACUUCAGGCCUGGCUGGGCGGUCCGCCUUCCGGGUGAGUACUGCCUGUGGUCGGGUCCUACCUUCUGGCGAAGCGUCAUGGCCUUAACCGGCCGUGGCGGGGAACCAGGACUUUUACUGUGAAAAAAUUAGAGUGUUCAAAGCAGGCACGCGCUUGAAUACAUUAGCAUGGAAUAAUGGAAUAGGACAGUGGUUCUAUUUGUUGGUUUCUAGGACCGUUGUAAUGAUUAAUAGGGAUAGUUGGGGGCAUUAGUAUUCAAUUGUCAGAGGUGAAAUUCUUGGAUUUAUUGAAGACUAACUACUGCGAAAGCAUUUGCCAAGGAUGUUUUCAUUAAUCAAGAACGAAAGUUAGGGGAUCGAAGACGAUCAGAUACCGUCGUAGUCUUAACCAUAAACUAUGCCGACUAGGAAUCGGGCGAUGUUGACAAAAUGACGCGCUCGGCACCUCAUG